rnacentral:rRNA from 1 species
UGGGGAAUAUUGCACAAUGGGCGCAAGCCUGAUGCAGCCAUGCCGCGUGUGUGAAGAAGGCCUUCGGGUUGUAAAGCACUUUCAGAGGGGAGGAAGGCGUUAAGGUUAAUAACCUUGGCGAUUGACGUUACCCGCAGAAGAAGCACCGGCUAACUCCGUGCCAGCAGCCGCGGUAAUACGGAGGGUGCAAGCGUUAAUCGGAAUUACUGGGCGUAAAGCGCACGCAGGCGGUCUGCCAAGUCGGAUGUGAAAUCCCCGGGCUCAACCUGGGAACUGCAUUCGAAACUGGGAGGCUAGAGUCUUGUAGAGGGGGGUAGAAUUCCAGGUGUAGCGGGGAAAUGCGGAGAGAUCUGGAGGAAUACCGGUGGCGAAGGCGGCCCCCUGAACAAAAACUAACACUCAAAAGCGAAAACGUGGGGAGCAAACAGG